UACGAAGGGGGCUAGCGUUGCUCGGAAUCACUGGGCGUAAAGGGCGCGUAGGCGGCGUUUUUAAGUCGGGGGUGAAAUCUCGGAGCUUAACUCCGAAACGUGCAUUCGAUACUGCCGUGCUUGAGGACUGGGAGAGGAGACUGGAAUUUACGGUGUAGCGGUGAAAUGCGUAGAUAUCGUGAAGGAAGACCAGUGGCGAAGGCGGGAUCGCUGGACAGUUCCUGACGCUGGAGGCACGAAGGUCAGGGGAGCAAACGGGG
rnacentral:rRNA from 1 species